rnacentral:snoRNA from 13 species
GCUGGUCCAGGAUGAAUCCUACUGAGUGGACAUCUGUGGAUGAGCAGUGCGGAUAUGGGACUGAGACCAGCG